UUUUACAAAACUUCACUUGAAUCAGAAAUUAUUUGACUACUCAAUUAGAUAGUUGUUAUUGUAGUAUUUUCUUGAAGCUGCUUUUAUAAAAUGAAGACUUGAAAAAUAAGAAGAUUUGGAUUGUUAAAAAAGAAGAAUGUUGAGGACCUUAAAGGGUGAGGGAUCCCUCUAAUUGACAUUUUUGGGUUUGGUUACUUUUCGUACUAGAUAAAGUUGUAAUGGCAUUUGUAGAAAAAUGGAAUGGAGGGCUGGCUUCUGCUUACUUUUCAUUUUUCAAUCUUCCAACCCAACUACCGAAAGCAUGCAUGGCAUUUUGGCAAUGCCAUUUCGAGUGCUUAGCUAUCUAUCAACAUCACCACUUCCACCUUCCACCUCGCAACCGUAUCUGAUGCUUGCUGCUGUUCUUGUUGGCACCAUUCAAAUCCAUCGGCCACCCUAUGUCAUUUUAUACUUCCAAUUGUUUUAUGAUUUUCUAUUCUUAUUGGCUGUCAAAAGCUUUAGCCCAUGUUGGUCCAUGUUCCCCACAUGUUCUUGUCUGUUGGAAGAAAAUUAAACAAGGGGAGCUUGAGAUUCAGGCCCAAUAGAGGGGCUGAAAUAGUAGAAAACCCAACCCUAUAGAUUCAAGCCCAUUUGCUGCAAUGAUGUUCCUUCAAGCUGCUUCAGCGUUUUAUCACCGAGUUAAGAGUUCCAUUGUAGUACGAGUACUACAGUACUACUGCACUGCACUGCACUGCACCGCAAAUCAAAUUUGUACUACGUCUUAGAAGAUGUGUACUAAUGUACUUUUGCAUCAGAAAUAUUAACUUUAUAUUAUGUACGUACUGUGUAUAUAAAACACAACAGAAAUGAGGUUGCAGCAGCACUACCUCCCUCUACUGCUAAACUAGUUAGUUUUACUUUAAUGCUGUUAUUGAACUAUCAAACACGGCCUCCUCUGUCUCUCUAUCUAUGUUAAGAACUGCAUAUAAUUAACAAAAGAAAGAAGAUUAUUAUUCGAUGAAUUUCAAUCCAGAAGUGGCAGAGUGGUUUGCAAUCUGAGCUGAGAUGGUAUAUAAUCCAAUAUAACUGCAUUUUGGAGUGGCACUCACUUGAAGGGAAUUUGGUGGUAGAAAUUAAAUCAAAAGCUCUGAUGUGACAGCAAAUGACGUUGUUGAUUGUGAUCCACACUGGAUGUCGAACUGGUCAAUUGCUAUAUGUGGUGGUGUUGCUGCUCUCGGCAAUCCACGCGUGUUCUUUUAAUUUGCCUUCAUUUUCCAAUUGUAACUUUGUUCCUCUCGUGUAUUGAGAAAAUAAUAAUAAUAAAUCUUUAUAGUGAAAAAGUAAAUUCCAAUCACAAAAA